UACAGAGGUCUCAAGCGUUGUUCGGAUUCAUUGGGCGUAAAGGGGUGCGUAGGUGGCGAGGUAAGUCGGAUGUGAAAGCUCGGAGCUCAACUCCGAAAUGGCAUUGGAAACUACCUUGCUCGAGGGUUGGAGGGGGGACUGGAAUGCUUGGUGUAGCAGUGAAAUGCGUAGAUAUCAAGCGGAACACCAGUGGCGAAGGCGAGUCCCUGGACAACUCCUGACACUGAGGCACGAAAGCUAGGGGAGCAAACAGG
rnacentral:rRNA from 1 species